AGAGCUCCACCCAGCAGAAAUGUAACCCUAUAAAGCCUGAUAAGGUUUCACUGCUGUGAACGGCCAGCUCCUUGGUUACUAUCCAAACAGAAUAAAGCACGUACAUGUGUGUGUGCGUCAUAUUCAUUAUUUUUUUUUAACAACAAUGAAACAAAGGUGAAAAUGUUUUAGCACUUAUUCUUAUUUUGAACAGAUUCCUAAUAGAUGUACAGAAAAGUCAAAUCUCAGCUCUAGAUGAACAUUAUUAACAGCUUAAUCAAAAUAUCCAAUAAAUCGUGGUACUUUACAGAAAACACUUCAAGUCAUAAUCUAUAUUCAAUCUAAUAAGUGACAGGGUUUUCAGUCCGUGAAUCCAAGAGUUUUCCAUCCUGCCUCUUUGACAAUCCCACAUCAGUAAAGUCCAUUUCAAUUAUAUUCUGCUGGCAUUACAGGCGCCUGUACUGCCUGCAGAAUAUAAUUGAAACGGAUACAAAAAAAUUAUCUGAAGGUGCAGAAAUUAUCCAAAUACAGGAAUAUUCCAUUGUAGGCCCACUGAAGGUAUAAUGCUAUUAUAUUAUGAACAACUAAUCUGAUUUUAUUUGGAGGUCAGUGUAUGUUGAUCUGCUGCAGUAUUUGCUAUCGCCAGUAGAUGGCAGAGUAGAUUUUCUUUACUACUUUUCAAUUGAAAACUUGUAUUAUACAAAUGAAUAAGGAAAUGACUAAACUAGUGAUAAUAAAAUACUGUGUUCAUAGGAAUUACACAUCUGUUAACAUCCAGAACGCUAUUUCAUAUAUCUUAGGAUGUCAACCAUUAACUGUAUCAUAAAACAUGAGCACACAUGAGCACUGCUUCCAUUUUUAACCUAAGGAGUAGUAUAACCCCCCACCAAAAGGGGGCGCACUAUGCGUUUUAGCAAAUGGAACCCCCCACGAACAAGAAGCCCUUUUCUCCUAGGAUUUCUUCAUGAUACCUGAAGGUCCCGGAUUUCGACGUCCAACUUGAGAGUGUCAACGGAAGUGAUUCCAUAGUUAUCUGCUACUGAAAACUCAGAAGAACCUGAAUCUGAAUGAUGAGAUGGCGCGCUUAACCCAGAUCGUGGAUACGGUGUGGCCAACCGUGUGAUCCAGAUCGAACCUGAUUCGUGUAUCGAGAAGACAUCAUACUCCAGUCCUGCCCGUCACGUAGACGGGUAGUACUGAGUAUAGAGACCUAAAGACCCGGACCAGAACGGAACCAUUGAAUCCUCAAGCACACACACUAAUCAAGGACUGUACGGACGAUAUCCAGGGAACUGUACAUAUACACACUGACAGGACUGAAUUAUUUACAAGAUUUAUAUAAUAUUUACUGUUGUUUCUAUUUUAUGCUGUUUAAUACUGUUUUAUAGUUUAUAUUGUGAUUGUUCGGUGACUGUUUGUGAAACAAUAAACUGUUCAUUUGUUAAA